UAGGGAAUCUUCGGCAAUGGACGAAAGUCUGACCGAGCAACGCCGCGUGAGUGAAGAAGGUCUUCGGAUCGUAAAACUCUGUUGUUAGAGAAGAACAAGGACGUUAGUAACUGAACGUCCCCUGACGGUAUCUAACCAGAAAGCCACGGCUAACUACGUGCCAGCAGCCGCGGUAAUACGUAGGUGGCAAGCGUUGUCCGGAUUUAUUGGGCGUAAAGCGAGCGCAGGCGGUUUCUUAAGUCUGAUGUGAAAGCCCCCGGCUCAACCGGGGAGGGUCAUUGGAAACUGGGAGGCUUGAGUGCAGAAGAGGAGCGGGGAAUUCCAUGUGGAGCGGUGAAAUGCGUAGAUAUAUGGAGGAACACCAGUGGCGAAGGCGGCUCUCUGGUCUGUAACUGACGCUGAGGCUCGAAAGCGUGGGGGGCAAACAGG
rnacentral:rRNA from 1 species